UUGGUUGUAAUUGUUUAUAUUAACAAAAAAAAAAAAAAAAAAAAAAAAGCUGUUAAAGGAAAAAGAAAACGUAGAAAGUAAAAAAUAUCUACCGAUCUCUAUGAAAUUAAAAAAAACGUAGAAAUUAAAAAACCCUGCCAAUAUUGUGAUACAGGAAAAAGGAAAAAACGCUACCCUCUUCACAUCAGUCUUUUUAACAUUUUUUCUCUGUAAAAAAACCCUAGCCAUACUGCGAUAGAGGCGAUCUCUUUGCAUCAAACUCUGCUAGGAGAAAAAAAAAAAACUUGCGCCACACUGGAGAUUCGAUUGGCUGACCAUCGCUAUCCCCUUUUGAGUUUUCCAGAUUCAUAUCGCAACGAAGUACAAAACUUUGAAGCAGAUAUCAAAGAAUGUGAGAUGCAGUUAACGUAACAAACAACCAUGAUCUGAUCAAUAUUGCUAUGAUCUUGGUUGACUAAUAGGGAACAUUAUAUGUUUAUAAUUCUUUCUUCGGCCUUAUAUGGUUAAACAUCAAGGGGAAAUUGAUCACAUCUUAUUGUAGAUGAGAGUUAAUGCUGGGAAUAUUACAAUUCUGUAUUGGCAAAAGGCUGUGAAUUUUGAUC